CGUACUUCUCUUGCUAAAAGCUUGGUGUUAUAUCUCUCCGUUUUUUCAGCAACUUCAUGCGUGGCUUGGGCGAAGCGAAGGGAUCACUACAAGGAUGACGUCCCAGAUGCAUUUAAGAUUUUUAGUGACCAUGCGUACGGUGUUACAAUAUUGGAUAGUGACGACGACGGAGAGCUGGAAUGCUUGACUACCAAACGGACGGAAUACAACCCAUCUGUACCCUCAGCCACAUUCGUGUGGAUCCUAAAGGGCUUGAAUGGACACGAAAAAAAAACGAUCCCGUUUCAUGUGAGGCCGGCAAGUUCAUCUCAUGAGGUCCUCGUUAACUUCGAUGACGGUAA